GCCUUCGUGGUAUAGUGGUCAGCAUGCUCGAUGUAUAACCGAGCGGUCCGUGGUUCGAUUCCCAGUGAAGGCG
rfam:Stegodyphus mimosarum contig15279, whole genome shotgun sequence.